UACGUAGGGGGCAAGCGUUGUCCGGAUUUAUUGGGCGUAAAGAGCGUGUAGGCGGCUUGGUAGGUCCGCUGUGAAAACUCGAGGCUCAACCUCGAGAUGUCGGCGGAAACCACUUGGCUAGAGUCCGGAAGAGGAGAGUGGAAUUCCUGGUGUAGCGGUGAAAUGCGCAGAUAUCAGGAAGAACACCGGUGGCGAAGGCGGAUCUCUGGGCCAUUACUGACGCUGAGGAGCGAAAGCGUGGGGAGCGAACAGG
rnacentral:rRNA from 1 species